rnacentral:rRNA from 2 species
GGUAGUGCGGGUGCUAAUACAUGCAAGUCGAGCGAACUGAUUAGAAGCUUGCUUCUAUGACGUUAGCGGCGGACGGGUGAGUAACACGUGGGCAACCUGCCUGUAAGACUGGGAUAACUUCGGGAAACCGAAGCUAAUACCGGAUAGGAUCUUCUCCUUCAUGGGAGAUGAUUGAAAGAUGGUUUCGGCUAUCACUUACAGAUGGGCCCGCGGUGCAUUAGCUAGUUGGUGAGGUAACGGCUCACCAAGGCAACGAUGCAUAGCCGACCUGAGAGGGUGAUCGGCCACACUGGGACUGAGACACGGCCCAGACUCCUACGGGAGGCAGCAGUAGGGAAUCUUCCGCAAUGGACGAAAGUCUGACGGAGCAACGCCGCGUGAGUGAUGAAGGCUUUCGGGUCGUAAAACUCUGUUGUUAGGGAAGAACAAGUACGAGAGUAACUGCUCGUACCUUGACGGUACCUAACCAGAAAGCCACGGCUAACUACGUGCCAGCAGCCGCGGUAAUACGUAGGUGGCAAGCGUUAUCCGGAAUUAUUGGGCGUAAAGCGCGCGCAGGCGGUUUCUUAAGUCUGAUGUGAAAGCCCACGGCUCAACCGUGGAGGGUCAUUGGAAACUGGGGAACUUGAGUGCAGAAGAGAAAAGCGGAAUUCCACGUGUAGCGGUGAAAUGCGUAGAGAUGUGGAGGAACACCAGUGGCGAAGGCGGCUUUUUGGUCUGUAACUGACGCUGAGGCGCGAAAGCGUGGGGAGCAAACAGGAUUAGAUACC